rnacentral:lncRNA from 1 species
CAAUAUAGUUAUAUUUUUUGUUUCUUCUUUACGUUUAUAUUUAUUUACUAAAAUAUUUCUACCCGUCGCAUCGCGCGGGUCACUACACUAGUUUAUACAUUGUUGCACUAUUUCUCAAAAUCAUAAAGUGCANAUUUAUAAUUAAUUAUUAAUAAUUAAUUUUUUAUUUAUUUUUAAGUAAUAUUUUUAUGUUAAUUAAUUACAUAAUAUAAUUUUAAUUUUAAAUUAUAACAUUUAUUCCUCUUGUUCCAAUCUAAUCAUCCAAACACUAUUUACCUUAUUUCUAGGAACAAUCCAAUUUUCAUCCAAACGCAAAAUUGGUCUAGUUCUGCUUAUACCUGAACUUGUACCUAUCUCUAGAACUAGCAGUUCUUAUUUAUACCCGAACUAAACGCAGCCUAAAGUGUGAUGCUAUGCAAAAAAGACUAACUAA